AGUGAACGCUGGCGGCAGGCCUAAUACAUGCAAGUCGAACGGCAGCACAGUGGCGCUUGCUCCAUGGGUGGCGAGUGGCGGACGGGUGAGGAAUACAUGGGAAUCUGCCCAGUCGUGGGGGAUAACGUAGGGAAACUUACGCUAAUACCGCAUGCGCCCUUCGGGGGAAAGCCGGGGACCUUCGGGCCUGGCGCGAUUGGAUGAGCCCAUGUUCGAUUAGCUAGUUGGCGGGGUAAAGGCCCACCAAGGCGACGAUCGAUAGCUGGUCUGAGAGGAUGAUCAGCCACACUGGGACUGAGACACGGCCCAGACUCCUACGGGAGGGAGCAGUAGGGAAUAUUGGACAAUGGGCGCAAGCCUGAUCCAGCCAUGCCGCGUGAGUGAAGAAGGCCCUCGGGUUGUAAAGCUCUUUUGUCCGGGAAGAAAAGCAUCGGGCUAAUACCUCGGUGUUCUGACGGUACCGGAAGAAUAAGCACCGGCUAACUUCGUG
rnacentral:rRNA from 1 species